rnacentral:lncRNA from 1 species
AGGCUGCAGCCGCGCCCCCAGCCGUAUUUCCGCGGGCGCUGAGCACUAGAGAGAGCGUCUUGUGGCUGCGGCCUGCCCCUCAGCCUCCUCCGCGCGGUUACCCCUGUACCCGCCGCCAUCCGUCCUGGCGCUCCGGAUGAGUCAAUGAGGGGCAGGGCCCGAGGAGUGGUCUUCCCAAGAACCCCUGGUGGCCUCCCAAGGCCGGUGCUGUGUACCUCCUCCCCGACAAAAGGGGAAACUGAGGCCCCGAGGGGAGUGGGAAGAGCCGGCUGGACGUCAGGCCCAGCCGCUGGUGCAGUGGUCCGUCCCCUCUGCCGGGGUGGGCCCCUCGGGUUUCGCGUGUCCUCGGGAAAGAGACUGGCGGGCCUCGUGGGCUGUGCGGCUAUCCUGGAGACAGAUGACAGCUCUCCCUUGGAUGGCUUUGCUGGUUCCGCACCAGCCAGCGCCCCCAUUUUUCCUGCAGCACCCUGAUCUGCACUCCCUGAGGGGCUCCCACUGUCCGCGGUGUGAGGAUGUCCCUGGUCCACUGUGUGCAGAGGCAUGGGAGUUGUCAUGUUGGGAACAUGCUAGACCUCAGUAUCCUUGAGGGAUGCUGCCUUGGGUCUGGAAACUGUUAGAGGAAACCCCAAGAGGUGCAGGCACUGAGCCUCUCAGGACAAUGACCUGGGGUCCCAGCUCCCCUGGAGGGGCCUCCUCAUGAUUGUUUGGGGGUUGAUCACAGACCAAGAGUGACGAGUGAUGUCACCCUGUGACUCAUGGCUGGACCUUCUUGCCCCUAUUGUCUCAGCACAACAUUAUUCGACUUUUCCCUCAGCGUGGGUGGGCAGAGGAAAAGCCCUGUGGCUCUGGGGACUUGGGAUCCAGAGUUGAAGACCCUUCAGCUGGCUCUGCCCUGCCAGUGCCACAGAGUGCCAUGGCCCAGGAAGACAGGUUUUCUUCCAUCUAGGCCAGGCCAUCCAGUGGCCAUCCUCCGUGUCCUCCCGCCUCCUCCUGGUGUGACUUCUGAAAACCAAGAAUUUGUUCCUGUUGACUUUUUCUGUGCUAUGGACCAUUGUCCUCUCACCCACUCAAUAAAUCUUGAAACAUGCCCUGCUGCUUGUUCUUUCA